rnacentral:rRNA from 1 species
AUGGCUCAGGAUGAACGCUAGCGGCAGGCUUAACACAUGCAAGUCGAGGGGCAUCGGGAGUAGCAAUACUUGCCGGCGACCGGCGCAAGGGUGCGUAACGCGUGAGCAACAUGCCCGUAUCAGGGGGAUAAUCCAUGGAAACGUGGUCUAAUACCCCAUAGUAAUUAUGUAAGGCAUCUUAUAUAAUUUAAAGCUUUGGUGGAUACGGAUUGGCUCGCGUGACAUUAGCUGGAUGGUAAGGUAACGGCUUACCAUGGCUACGAUGUCUAGGGUUCUGAGAGGAAGGUCCCCCACACUGGAACUGAGACACGGUCCAGACUCCUACGGGAGGCAGCAGUGAGGAAUAUUGGACAAUGGAUGGAAAUCUGAUCCAGCCAUGCCGCGUGCCAGGAAGACGGCCCUAUGGGUUGUAAACUGCUUUUGUAUGGGAGCAAUAAGGGCUACGUGUAGUCCGAUGAGAGUACCAUACGAAUAAGCACCGGCUAACUCCGUGCCAGCCGCCGC